GAUGAACGCUGGCGGUGUGCCUUAGGCAUGCAAGUCGAACGAGAAUCCCGCUUCGGCGGGAGGACAGUGGCAGACGGGUGAGUAACACGUAGGAAUCUACCCAGUAGUGGGGAAUAGCCCUCCGAAAGGAGGAGUAAUACCGCAUACUCCCCGCUUAGCGGGGCAAAGGCUUCGGUCGCUAUUGGAGGAUCCUGCGCGCUAUCAGCUAGUUGGUGAGGUAAAGGCUCACCAAGGCAACGACGGCUAGCCGAUGUGAGAGCAUGAUCGGCCACAAGGUCACUGAGAUACGGGGCCU
rnacentral:rRNA from 1 species